rnacentral:rRNA from 1 species
GACGAACGCUGGCGGCGUGCCUAAUACAUGCAAGUAGAACGCUGAAGGAGGAGCUUGCUUCUCUGGAUGAGUUGCGAACGGGUGAGUAACGCGUAGGUAACCUGCCUGGUAGCGGGGGAUAACUAUGGGAAACGAUAGCUAAUACCGCAUAAGAGUAGAUGUCGCAUGACAUUUGCUUAAAAGGUGCAAUUGCAUCACUACCAGAUGGACCUGCGUUGUAUUAGCUAGUUGGUGAGGUAACGGCUCACCAAGGCAACGAUACAUAGCCGACCUGAGAGGGUGAUCGGCCACACUGGGACUGAGACACGGCCCAGACUCCUACGGGAGGCAGCAGUAGGGAAUCUUCGGCAAUGGACGGAAUUCUGACCGAGCAACGCCGCGUGAGUGCAGAAGGUUUUCGGAUCGUAAAGCUCUGUUGUAAGAGAAGAACGAGUGUGAGAGUGGAAAGUUCACACUGUGACGGUACCUUACCAGAAAGGGACGGCUAACUACGUG